CUCUCUCUGACUACAAAACCCACCCACUUUCCCCUGGAUGAGGACGACCGACAAAUUUCCUUUGACUACAAAACCCACCCACCUUCUCCUGUGUCCGACCGGUAAAUUUCGAAUCGGCAGAUGCACACCGUCGACGGGCAAAUUUCGAACGGCAACGAGGAGAUGAAGAGGGGGGAUUAGGGAGAGCAGAAAUGGCAAGAUUUCACCUGUAUUGUCCCGGAUUAGUUAUGGCUAUCUCUGGAGGUGGCCAUAAAUUAGUACCCUCUGGCCUGUGUUAACGAAGAAGGGGAGAAAUGAAUACAGAAGCGCUUAAUCUUGCCAAACGAUGGAGUAAGGAACCAAUACACCCGGAUUGCGAAAUACACCCGAUGGAUACGGCAUCCAAUCGGGCCCCUAAUUCCUUAAUAGCCCACAAUGGCUGAUUUUCGCACGAUUGGGCCAGAGAAGCUGUUGUGGCUGAGAUCUAUCUUGGAAAGCUGCUGUAAUAGCCCGAUUUGCGAUGGGAUUGGACCUGAAAGCUCAUUCGCGUCGAGUAGAAGCUUUAGAGAUAUACACCCGUAACAAGUCAGUGCUUCUUGUCAGAAAAGCUGAACCACUUUCUCUAGAGAUACACACUCUUGUUGUCAAAUACCACCAUCUGUCCAUGUAGAAAAGUAUAUGGCUGAUUUGAUUAACAAAAUAUCCUUGUAAUUCAUAUGCUAGUCAACAAACGUGUAAACCUCUAAUCACCAAUAAAUCCAGUUCCUCCUUUU